ensembl:misc_RNA Y_RNA Y RNA
GGCUGGUCCGACGGCAGUGGGUUAUCAGAACUUAUUAACAUUAGUGUCACUAAAGUUGGUAUACCACCCCCCCACUGCUAAAUUUGACUGGCUUUAA